rnacentral:rRNA from 1 species
UGAACGCUGGCGGCGUGCUUAACACAUGCAAGUCGAACGAUGAAGCCUAGCUUGCUAGGUGGAUUAGUGGCGCACGGGUGAGUAAUAUAUAGGUAACGUGCCUCUUAGUCUGGGAUAGCCAUUGGAAACGAUGAUUAAUACUAGAUACUCCUUCUCUUUAUAAUUAGAGUCGGGAAAGUUUUUCGCUAAGAGAUCGGCCUAUUUCCCAUCAGCUAGUUGGUAGUGUAAGAGACUACCAAGGCUAUGACGGGUAGCGGGUUUGAGAGGAUGAUCCGCCACACUGGUACUGAGACACGGACCAGACUCCUACGGGAGGCAGCAGCGAGGAAUAUUGCACAAUGGAGGAAACUCUGAUGCAGCAACGCCGCGUGGAGGAUGACGCAUUUCGGUGUGUAAACUCCUUUUAUAUGUCAAGAAAAUGACGGUAGCAUAUGAAUAAGCACCGGCUAACUCCGUGCCAGCAGCCGCGGUAAUACGGAGGGUGCAAGCGUUACUCGGAAUCACUGGGCGUAAAGGACGCGUAGGCUGGAUGCCAAGUCUGAUGUGAAAUCCUAUGGCUCAACCAUAGAACUGCAUUGGAAACUGGUAACCUAGAGUAUGGGAGGGGGAGAUGGAAUUAGUGGUGUAGGGGUAAAAUCCGUAGAUAUCACUAGGAAUACCGAAAGCGAAGGCGAUCUCCUGGAACAAUACUGACGCUAAGGCGUGAAAGCGUGGGGAGCAAACGGGAUUAGAUACCCCGGUAGUCCACGCCCUAAACGAUGAACACUAGUCGUCGGGAUGCUAGUCAUCUCGGUGAUGCACUUAACAGAUUAAGUGUUCCGCCUGGGGAGUACGGUCGCAAGAUUAAAACUCAAAG